AAAAAUCCUGGGAUAUCUGGAUUAAAUAAAAAAAACUUUUCAACUCACCGCACAACACCAUUCCAAUCAAUUUAAUUUGUUUCCCAAAGAAAAUUAACACAACUUUUUGCUCUUUUUGGUGGUUUGGUUCCCGGCACUUUGAAUUUGGAUGGAUCUCCAUGAGUGGACUUGAGAUGUUGAACGAGCCAAGGAUCCGAUCAAACUGAUGCUGCAAUGUUCCACAGCUAGCCAGCAAACGUUCCAUCCGGCCUGAAAUUGUGUGAUCUGCAAACCAGAUUCACCGGUUCAAACCCUCCUUGAUUAUGUACAUUUCUCACCGGGCGCGUAUCUCCGGCACACCUGGACCAGCGAAGGUGAGAGGAUGCUGCUGCUUGCGAAUGGAACGAGUUUUUCCAGCUUUGCCAAUGACCGUUGUCCAACAAAACAUUCAAUUACCACCGGUGAUGCUGUGCGAAUCUUCCAGGACAAUCGGGACAAUUGGACGAUGCCGUGAUUCAACCGUUGCAGGGGCCAUUUACAGGAAAUUUCCACGAGGGCUCUGGGAUGAGAACAAAAGGAUGUCUGGAGAAUUUUUGUUGCCCAUUCAUUGCGCGUUUGAACAAUAUUCCCAAAUCAGGAUGGACCAUUGUCCUUUGGCCGUCGUGGCAGUGUCUUAUAAGCAUUUCACACAGGCUCAUCUAAUCAUCCAGCGCGUCUGAAUGUCUUUCCCGCGCUGCCUUCUUGCCAAAAUUCCCAAAGCGUGACCGUUGAAAAUAAAUUCAUAAGAGCCACAGCACGAGGUUCAAGCUAAAAAGUUUCAUCAUUAGAGUUUGGCAAACACACACACAUAGUAUUAUUUCUUUGGCAUCCUAAAACUAAAUAAUUUCGCCUCAAAUGACCAAAGUUGCAAUUGGUUUGAGAUCCCUCCGGUUCAUUUUGGGGAGAUUGUAUUCUCGAAUGAGGUAAGGGUGCGCAAAAACUAAUAACAAGUUGCAACUAUUUUCAUUUCCAUUUGAUUGGGUUCGCUCACACAGCUUGCAUCUCAUUCCCAUUUAGAAUGCAACUUUCUCAAUUUUCGUUGACUUUAAAUACAUACUACUGAAAAACCCCCUCAUACAGCUUAAGAGGUGGCUGUGCAUAAACUUUUAAUGCAACGAAUUUCUAUACUUCCUAAAUUCUAAUGCAUCCAAUGUGACGAUUUAUCGUUGUUAUUGUUCAACAAAGCUGGGAAAUUGAAUAUUUUGUCAGCCCUGCAUUGAGCACACACUGGGUGUUAGGGGCGGUUACGCAAUGUCCUUGCAAUUGGGAUGAGGAGGGUUGUAAAGGCAUUGCUGGCAAGAGGGAUGGGACGACUGAAUCCAAUAGCUGUCGAUAUACGGAUUGCAUGCACAUUUAUGCCGAUACUGAGAGUUUGAUAUGGCUCAUCUCCGCACGUAAGUGAUUUUCACUUUCACUAUUCAAAUUCACACAGAUCUGUUCUCGAUUUCACCAGGAUAUCCCCAUACCAACUCACUCCAUUGCUUUCCUUAAGGUGGUAUACGAAAUUUCCUCAUUGUUAAUGCAUUAUUCUGGUCGAUUCUGCUUAAAUCUACUCAUUGCAAUCGAUUGAAAAAAUAAUGAGAAAAUUAUUCUUAAGCAGAUUUGGAUUUCAGGAUGACUAGAAAUCUGAAUUAGUUGGUGUUCCACUUCGUGGCCAACACCAAGUAUUGUAAUCGUCGGAAAAACCGACCACCUCAGAUCGGCCUCAAACUUGGUAUGAGCACGUUUUGGACAUCCCACAUUACGAAAAUGGUGGUGGAAAAAUUUUGAUCCGGCCGGCCUGCCGGCCGGCCUGCCGGCCUUCCGGCCGGUGGUCCAAACUUUGCCUUAUAGCUCGAGAACGGUAAUAUAUAGAGACUUCGGGUUUGAAGUUUUCUAUAGAAAUGUGGGUGUAAAAUUUCAUUUUUUCGCAUUUUCAAAAUUCAAGAUGGCCGCCGUUCGCCAUUUUGAAAUACCGUCAACCACUUCCCUUAUAGCUAAAGAUUUGAAAUUUUAGUAUGUUGUAGAGCUCAGUGAGACGUUUACAUCGAUAAUUCAUACUUGAAAAUCGGUCAAGCGGUUUAGCAAAUAUGGCCGCCUAAGGCAAAAAGUGUUUUUUCGAUAUAUCUCGAGAACGGCUUGACCGAUUUUGACCAUCUUGGUAUCAAAUGAAAGGUAUUGAGAAGCCCUACAACUGUUUAGAACAUUUCAAGUUUCAAAAACAUCCGCAAGAGGCGCUAAAAACAAAAACAAAAAUUGCCUAACUUUAAGGGGCUAUAUCUCCUAAUUCCGAUUAUCGAUUUCCUUUAAAUUUUGAUAUGUUGUAGCCUGACUCAAUAUCUUUCACCAGUCCAAAAAUGAAGAAAAUCUAUGUCGCCGUUUAGAAGAUAUCGCCAUUUGAAAAAUUCUUGAAUUUGAAAAGUUCUAAGAGCCAUAUCUCCUGAACUGCUUGACCGAUUUUGCUCAUCUUGAUAUCAAAUUAAAGAUUUUGCAAUUCUCUACAACUUUCUAGAACAUCAGAAAUCUCUAGAACCAUUUCAUGAGUACAAAAAACGCCAAAAACUGUUUUGGUCAAACAAAAAGCCGCCAUUUUGUGUUCUAGAGGUGACCUUGAAAAUCAUUGGAAUAUAUAUCAAAUUAUAACUUGUUUCAAGACCUUUCCAAAACUGGUCAAGAAAUUUCUCUAUGUGUUAUAAAACCAGAGAUAUGACCAUUUUUAUCCAUCAAAUUACUGAAUUUUACAAAAAAAUCAAUUUCGCCUUAACUAAUACUGCUCACAAAUUAAAGUACAACGCAUUAACAAACUUCUACACGUUGUGGGACACCAACUCUUAUAACUGGACGCGUUAUGAUUGACUUUCAUUUUGAAUUGAUUUGCUCUAAAAAGGAUUUUUUAAAGGUAAUUAAAUAAAUUGAGGAUUUCAAGCAACAUUAUCAGCUCAAGGAAAUGAAAAAAGAUAGGAAAAAGAAAGAAAAUGAAGAAAUAGAGUUGAAAAUAGAAUAUUUUCUUUGAAUUUUAACUGAUUUAAUUUGAAAUUGAAAUUGAAUUGAUUGGCUUGAAUUGAUCUUGAAUUUAUUAAUUUAAUCAGCUAACCCAGAUUUAUCCAUUAUAGGUACUAUAAUUCGGUAUAUUCGGAAAAAUAAUUUUGUAGACUUUGAGUACAUAAGAAUAGCAUAAAACAUUUUUAUCUUAAUAAAAAUCAAAGGGGUUCGGUAUAGAAGAUUUUUUUUUUUAUUUUUUGAGAUGUUUUGGUAGGAAAUUAAUUUUUCUGGACGACUUUGAAAUUAGAUUUAGAGUAAUUUUAAUUAAUUAAAAAAAAACAUUCUUUGAAGGAAAAAAAUUAUUAUAAAAGUCCUAUUGGCCUGCAAAUGUAUCAUUUAAUCAGGAAAAUCGACAUUCUGUACAAAAAAUCAGAAGAAUUAUUCACAUUAAAGCUUUGAGAAAAUGAGUUUUCUUUCAAGAAGGCACUCAAGGAGAAAGUAGGAUUAAAAAACUAUUACAAAGACUUUCCUCACAAGCUGCUACCUUCUACUGGGGACUUCAAAGUUAAUUCUUUAAUUAAU